UACAUAGGUGGCAAGCGUUAUCCGGAAUUAUUGGGCGUAAAGCGCGCGCAGGUGGUUUCUUAAGUCUGAUGUGAAAGCCCACGGCUCAACCGUGGAGGGUCAUUGGAAACUGGGAGAUUUGAGUGCAGAAGAGGAAAGUGGAAUUCCAUGUGUAGCGGUGAAAUGCGUAGAGAUAUGGAGGAACACCAGUGGCGAAGGCGACUUUCUGGUCUGUAACUGACACUGAGGCGCGAAAGCGUGGGGAGCAAACAGG
rnacentral:rRNA from 1 species